UACAGAGGUCUCAACCGUUGUUCGGAUUCAUUGGGCGUAAAGGGUGCGUAGGCGGUUGCGCAAGUCGGAUGUGAAAUCUCGGGGCUCAACCCCGAAACUGCAUUCGAUACUGCGUGGCUCGAGUACUGGAGAGGAGACUGGAAUUUACGGUGUAGCAGUGAAAUGCGUAGAUAUCGUAAGGAAGACCAGUGGCGAAGGCGAGUCUCUGGACAGUUCCUGACACUGAGACACGAAGGCCAGGGGAGCAAACGGG
rnacentral:rRNA from 1 species